rnacentral:rRNA from 1 species
AUUGAACGCUGGCGGCAGGCCUAACACAUGCAAGUCGAGCGAGCGGCGGACGGGGGAGAAAUGUAUGGGGACUGCCCGAUAGAGCGGGGUAACUACUGGAAACAGUGGCUAAUACCGCAUACUAUCGGGUAAGCCAGAUGGGAUUAGCGAGUAGGGGAGGUAAUGGCUCACCUAGGCGACGAUCCCUAGCUGGUCUGAGAGGAUGAUCAGCCACACUGGGACUGAGACACGGCCCAGACUCCUACGGAGGCAGCAGUGGGGAAUAUUGCACAAUGGGCGCAAGCCUGAUACAGCCAUGCCGCGUGUAUGAAGAAGGCCCUAGGGUUGUAAAGUACUUUCAGUCGGGAGGCGUUACCGACAGAAGAAGCACCGGCUAACUCCGUGCCAGCAGCCGCGGUAAUUC